CGUGAAUCAAAUAAAUAUUAUUUAAUCAAAGAAAUCAUCCUAGCUUAAAUAAAAUUAAGCUAACAUAGUUUUAAACAAGAACAAAGAGUACAUAACAAACAUCUUUAGAUUAAAUUAAAGAAAAGAAAUAUUAAACCCAAUUUAGAGUGGCUGUGACCUAAGACUCUAACUGACGAGGCUCCCUCGCUUCUUUGCUUUGCUCCUUUGCUGAUGGUUCUCCAAGGUGGCCGACCAAGGGUUCUUUAAGAGGCUAAUUUUGGUAAAAAUCCUUAUGCAAGGAUGAUGAUAGGCGUGAGGGGCAAAGAUAGCUAAGAGAGUUGAGAGAGGAGAGAAUGAUGAAUGAGUGAGGGAUGAUUGAAAAAGUGAGAAAUGGACUCUUAUUUAUAGGUUAGACAAGGGAGCUAGUUUGCUAAAAAUAGGAGUGUCCAUCUUUUGAAACUUCUUCCAAGGAUGGUCGACCAUGAAUUGAGGAAAUGUGGCUGAUUCUGCUUGAUUCUUGGUCAAUUUUAGUGCCACCACAACUUAGGACUAAGAUUCGGUCACCAGCAAAUCUUCGGGAAAAUAUUUGGUUUCUUUAACUCUUCAAGGACCUUGUGUAAAUAAACCAAAAAUUUACUUAUGAUCAGCCAUGUGCAGCCAAAAAUUGGGUUGACUUAGUCUCCAAUUUGGAAGGUUUUGCAAUUAGAAGAAAACUCUCAGACCUGUCCAAAAAUAGUAGAUUGUUUAGAGGACCAAAUAAUAUAAUUUUAACCACUUCAAUUAAUUAAUUUACUUAAUUAAUUAAAACCUAAUUUAUUAAUGAAAUAUUUAAAAUGAAUUAUUAAAUAUAACUUUAUAUUUUAUUAUUUAAUUUAAUCAUGCAUGACCCACUUUAUAGCUUAAAAAUAUAAUAUGCUCAAACUAAUAUAAAAUAAGUCAUUUUAUGCAUGAAAACUAUAUAACAAAGCAUAAAAUCACAUUUUAAUAAUUUUCAUGUAUUUUCACAUAUUUCAUUAAUUUAUUAAACAAUUACUUGAUUUUAACAACAUAUUUAAAUAAAAAGGUGAUGAAUUAUAUAGGAAAAAUCCUAUAUAUUUUUCAGUUUACAGGAGAAGAUGAAGAAGAUGAUGUAAUUUUUGGGUGAUUUACUUGGUUUUACUAGAGUUUGAUGGUUCAAAGAUGUUAGAAAUCAAAGGGAUUUAGGAAUCAAAUUUCCAAAUCACUUAGAAGAGUAAGAGGAGAGCAAAAAUGACACAUUAGCUUUUGGGGGAAAAUUUUCGUGAAACAUGCUCGGAAUGGGGGGAUUUUACGGUGAUUUUAAAAUUUCGGUCUAUUUGCUUGAGAAAAACUCCCAGUUUUGUCUACUUUACAAAUCAGUCCUAUUUUCAAAAUUGAAGACAUUUAAAACUCUUUUUCAAAAAUUGACUUAAUUUUAUGAAAACCAUUGUUGAAAACAUUAUCGAUUACCCAACUUAUGAAAUUCCAAACUCAUCUAAGCCAAAAUUUUGAAAAUACCCUAAAACUCCUAAGCCCAAAUUUAGGGUGUGACACCGACCGCAUCCAUCUCGCGCAAUAGUUGCGCCACCCACUCUUUCCAAGACAUAUAGACUUUAAUUUAAAUCCCCAACUAUAACCCAUGACCCAAUAAUAGAUUCCAUAUGAGAGUCCAAACAUUGCAAAAGUUUGCGUCUUGUUACUGAUUAUGGACUAGCAUACACCAUUGAGCACAAAAAACUAGAGGAUCCUUACUAGACCUGUCCAUGGGUCGGGCCCGAAAAAAAUUUCGUCCCGACUCUUAGGCCCGGGCCCGGCUCGGCCCAAAAUACGGGCCUAAGAUUUUGCGCAGGCCCAGCCCAGAAAAAAAUAAUAAGCCUGAGCCCGGCCCGGCCCGAUUUUUAGUAAACACAAAAAAUAUUUUAAAAAUAAAAAAUAUAUAUAUUUAAAGUAUUUUAAAAUUAAAAUUAAAAUUAAAAAAUAAAAAUAAAAAAUAUAUAUUUAUUAUAUUCGAGUCUGGCCGGGCUGGGCUCGGGCCAAAAAAGUUGAGUCUAAGCCCGGCCCAUUUUUUAAACGAGCCUCGUUUUUUUGCUCAAGCCCAUAUUUCAGGCUUAUAUUUUUACCCGAACCCUCUCAUAUUUCGAGCGAGCCGUCGGGCCGGCCCGGGCCGCCCAGCCCAUGAACAGGUCUAAUCCUUACCUACUUUGAACCUCAUAUAAAUCAUUUGGGGAUGUAGCUCCAAAAUAUCAAUCAAUAUAUUUUCAUUCCAGACAACCCAAACUCCCCCAGCAAACCCAUUAGCUUCAAUUCGAAAUGAAUUUGGAAAACCAAGUUUGGCAAUAACUCCAUCAACUUGAAUUCCACUUAUCUGAGUCUCCAACAAUGAAAUUAAAAAUGGGAAAAAUUACUUUCUAUAUUCAGACACAAAAUUAUGGAACCGAGCGUGCCCAAUUCCUUGACAAUUCCAAAAUAAAAGCUUUGUAUAAAUAAAAGCAAAAGAAAACAAAAGCUUUAUCAUCAACCAAUAAACAACAAAAACUAAUCAGUAGCUAACCUCAUCGGUGCAAUUGAUUCCAUCAUCCCUUACCUUCACAAGGGAUGAAACAUCAUCCUCCAUAUUAGAUAUCCCAAACCCCCGUUCUAUUUCCCUAACAAUCCCCUCUAUUGAUGCCGUCAUAUCCAUCUUAAUAGGUAUAGAAAUCAUCGAAACACUGUCCAAUGGUUUCUUCUGUUGGAACUUUCAUUUCAUCGUGGUUUGUGGACCUAAACUAGCACCAUCAUUACUCAUCACCCCAAAAAGAAAGAAGCCAUUUUCCUUGCCCAUUGUCGUACCAGAGCCCCCUUUUGAAAACACCCGUACUGCUUU
rnacentral:lncRNA from 1 species